UUUUGCAGGGUGGGGAGGACAGAGAAGCUGCAGGGAGAGAUGAAGUUUUUUCCUUGAGGAUGAAAAGCUCUUAACCUUGCACGUUUGGCUUCUUCUAUUCAAUUUUUUUAAAAGCAGAGAUAGGGAGCUCACAGAAUCCUCCCCACAAAGCCGAGAAGCAGGAAGCAGCAACCCUCCCAGAUGAAGAAGCGAAGGCUCGGAAAAGCUAAGUAACUUCUCCAAGCUGACGCAGCUCGUGAGAGGAGGGACUGGGAUUCAAAUCCCUGCAGGGGGAGACCAGCAGCCCCGACUUCAGCCGCCAUGCCUCCUGCCUGAGAAGCUAGCUGCGAAGGUUCCAGAAGGAGACUGCCCUCCGGGAACAGAAACAGCGCAUGACUGCGACCUGUCUGCAAAAAUCUUGAUCACUUGUAAAUCCUUCUCCACCUGAUAAGUUAUCACAUUGGCUCAUGAUGUUUUUUUUCAUUCUCACCCUAUGGCGUGGAUGCUGUUACUACCCCAUUUUACAAAGGAGUAAAGUGAGGCCCAGAGAGAACAGUUAAAUCACUUCCCCAGCUUCACUCAACUCAUCUACGGUGAGUCGACGGUACACAUGCCCUUCCACAACACAAAGGUCUCCACUUUGCCACGUGUCACUCUGAUGGUUCCAGGUGCAGAUUUUGCGUCUGCUUCUUGACUUCUAAUGGCUGCACCAUUUUGCAUUGGAUGGUUAUACCAUCAUUUAUUUGACUCAUCUCCUGUGCACAAGCAUCUAGUUUAUCUGCAAACUUUUGCUACCAAAAACAAUGCUGCAAUGAAUAAAUAAGCUGAUGCCUGCUUCUAAGCGUGCGUGCAUGCUGUAAUGUGAGAUGAAUUCCCAGAAGUGGAGUGGCUGAGUCCAAGAGUAAAUGCAUUUUUCAUUUUGAUAGUAUCGCCAAAUGUCUUUCCAAAGGGGUUGUGCUGGAUCCCACUCCAGCUAGCAAUGUGUGAGAGCACCAAUCCCACCGCCCACUGCAGCACACAUAUUGACGUCGGCUAGUCCAAUACCAGCACAGGCAGCUGGGCCCCCUCGG
rnacentral:lncRNA from 10 species